rnacentral:rRNA from 1 species
CCUACGGGUGGCUGCAGUGGGGAAUAUUGGACAAUGGGCGAAAGCCUGAUCCAGCCAUGUCGCGUGUGUGAAGAAGGCCUUCGGGUUGUAAAGCACUUUCAGUGGGGAAGAAAGCCUUGGGGCUAAUACCCUCGAGGAAGGACAUCACCCACAGAAGAAGCACCGGCUAACUCCGUGCCAGCAGCCGCGGUAAUACGGAGGGUGCGAGCGUUAAUCGGAAUUACUGGGCGUAAAGCGCGCGUAGGCGGUCUGAUAAGCCGGUUGUGAAAGCCCCGGGCUCAACCUGGGAACGGCAUCCGGAACUGUCAGGCUAGAGUGCAGGAGAGGAAGGUAGAAUUCCCGGUGUAGCGGUGAAAUGCGUAGAGAUCGGGAGGAAUACCAGUGGCGAAGGCGGCCUUCUGGACUGACACUGACGCUGAGGUGCGAAAGCGUGGGUAGCAAACAGGAUUAGAUACCCGAGUAGUC